AGAGAGAGACAUGCGCGCAUAUCAAUAAGCGGAGGAAAAGAAACUAACAAGGAUUCCCCUAGUAACGGCGAGUGAAGCGGGAAGAGCUCAAAUUUGAAAUCUUAAAGGGUUUCCCUUUACGAAUUGUAGUUUAAAGAAGUGUUUUCUGUUGAGGUUUUGGUAAAAGUUCUUUGGAAUAGGACAUCAUAGAGGGUGAGAAUCCCGUAUUUGACCUUUACUUUCAACUUUGUGAUACACUUUCAAAGAGUCGGAUUGUUUGGGAAUGCAGUCCAAAAUGGGUGGUAAAUUUCAUCUAAAGCUAAAUACUGGCGAGAGACCGAUAGCGAACAAGUACCGUGAGGGAAAGAUGAAAAGAACUUUGAAAAGAGAGUUAAACAGUACGUGAAAUUGUCAAAAGGGAAGCGUUUGACACCAGUGUUGUUUUUCUGAAAAUCAAUUAAAGAACUGUUUAUGCUAAGCUGUUUAGACUUUAUCAGCUAUCUGUUUAGUUUUGAGCUUUUCUUUAAUGCACUUUUCAGUUAACAAGUCAACAUCAAUUUCUUUUGCUGGAAAAAAGCUUGAGGAAGGUGGCUUGAGAUUCGUCUUAAGUGUUUAUAGCCUCUUGCCUAUGCAGUCGGAGAGAUUGAGGUCUGCAGCGUAGAUCCUUCGGGGCUAAAUGCAUUUGUGCUAAGUUAUAGCCUUCCAUAGACAACUUGUUGACUAUGAUCAGUCAUGUAGCUUACUCGCUUAUGCUAUUUUACCUACGCUUAGGAUGUUGAUGUGAUACUGCGAGCA
rnacentral:rRNA from 1 species